GAUGAACGCUGGCGGCGUGCCUAAUACAUGCAAGUCGAGCGAACAGAUGAGGAGCUUGCUCCUCUGACGUUAGCGACGGACGGGUGAGUAACACGUGGAUAACCUACCUAUAAGACUGGGAUAACUUCGGGAAACCGGAGCUAAUACCGGAUAAUAUAUUGAACCGCAUGGUUCAAUAGUGAAAGACGGUUUUGCUGUCACUUAUAGAUGGAUCCGCGCCGCAUUAGCUAGUUGGUAAGGUAACGGCUUACCAAGGCAACGAUGCGUAGCCGACCUGAGAGGGUGAUCGGCCACACUGGAACUGAGACACGGUCCAGACUCCUACGGGAGGCAGCAGUAGGGAAUCUUCCGCAAUGGGCGAAAGCCUGACGGAGCAACGCCGCGUGAGUGAUGAAGGUCUUCGGAUCGUAAAACUCCGUUAUUAGGGAAGAACAAAUGUGUAAGUAACUAUGCACGUCUUGACGGUACCUAAUCAGAAAGCCACGGCUAACUACGUG
rnacentral:rRNA from 1 species